rnacentral:rRNA from 1 species
AAUAGAUACCCUGGUAGUCCACGCCGUAAACGAUGAGUGCUAAGUGUUAGAGGGUUUCCGCCCUUUAGUGUUGCAGCUAACGCAUUAAGCACUCCGCCUGGGGAGUACGGCCGCAAGGCUGAAACUCAAAGGAAUUGACGGGGGCCCGCACAAGCGGUGGAGCAUGUGGUUUAAUUCGAAGCAACGCGAAGAACCUUACCAGGUCUUGACAUCCUCUGCCAACCCUAGAAAUAGGGCGUUCCCCUUCGGGGGACAGAGUGACAGGUGGUGCAUGGUUGUCGUCAGCUCGUGUCGUGAGAUGUUGGGUUAAGUCCCGCAACGAGCGCAACCCUUGAUCUUAGUUGCCAGCAUUCAGUUGGGCACUCUAAGGUGACUGCCGGUGACAAACCGGAGGAAGGUGGGGAUGACGUCAAAUCAUCAUGCCCCUUAUGACCUGGGGCUACACACGUGCUACAAUGGAUGGUACAAAGAGCUGCGAACCCGCGAGGGUAAGCCAAUCUCAUAAAGCCAUUCUCAGUUCGGAUUGUAGG